rnacentral:rRNA from 1 species
GUGGGGAAUCUUCCGCAAUGGACGAAAGUCUGACGGAGCAACGCCGCGUGAGUGAUGAAGGUCUUCGGAUUGUAAAGCUCUGUUAAUCGGGACGAAAGAGCCUAGUGUGAAUAAUGCUAGGAAGUGACGGUACCGGAAUAGAAAGCCACGGCUAACUACGUGCCAGCAGCCGCGGUAAUACGUAGGUGGCAAGCGUUGUCCGGAAUUAUUGGGCGUAAAGCGCGCGCAGGCGGAUCUGCCAGUCUGUCUUAAAAGUUCGGGGCUUAACCCCGUGAUGGGAUGGAAACUACAGAUCUAGAGUAUCGGAGAGGAAAGUGGAAUUCCUAGUGUAGCGGUGAAAUGCGUAGAUAUUAGGAAGAACACCAGUGGCGAAGGCGACUUUCUGGACGGUGUCUGACACUGAGGCGCGAAAGCCAGGGGAGCGAACGGGAUUAGAAACCCCUGUAGUCC